rnacentral:rRNA from 1 species
UACGGAGGGGGCUAGCGUUGUUCGGAAUUACUGGGCGUAAAGCGCACGUAGGCGGCUUUGUAAGUUAGAGGUGAAAGCCUGGAGCUCAACUCCAGAAUUGCCUUUAAGACUGCAUCGCUUGAAUCAUGGAGAGGCGGGUGGAAUUCCGAGUGUAGAGGUGAAAUUCGUAGAUAUUCGGAAGAACACCAGUGGCGAAGGCGGCCCGCUGGACAUGUAUUGACGCUGAGGUGCGAAAGCAUGGGGAGCGAACAGG